rnacentral:rRNA from 1 species
GGGGAUUGCCUACCUGCAGUCGAUUUCCGCGGACUUCUUCUUGCCGGUUAGAAUAGGAACGGGUGAGUAAAGCAUCGGAACGUACCCUAGAGUGGGGGAUAACUAUCCGAAAGGAUAGCUAAUACCGCAUAUUCUAUGAGUAGGAAAGCGGGGGAUCUUCGGACCUCGCGCUCUAGGAGCGGCCGAUGUCAGAUUAGCUAGUUGGUGGGGUAAAGGCCUACCAAGGCGACGAUCUGUAGCGGGUCUGAGAGGAUGAUCCGCCACACUGGGACUGAGACACGGCCCAGACUCCUACGGGAGGCAGCAGUGGGGAAUUUUGGACAAUGGGGGCAACCCUGAUCCAGCCAUGCCGCGUGAGUGAAGAAGGCCUUCGGGUUGUAAAGCUCUUUCGGCCGGGAAGAAAUCGCACGGGCUAAUACCUUGUGUGGAUGACGGUACCGGAAUAAGAAGCACCGGCUAACUACGUGCCAGCAGCCGCGGUAAUACGUAGGGUGCGAGCGUUAAUCGGAAUUACUGGGCGUAAAGCGUGCGCAGGCGGUUUUUUAAGACAGGCGUGAAAUCCCCGGGCUUAACCUGGGAACUGCGCUUGUGACUGGAAGGCUAGAGUACGGCAGAGGGGGGUGGAAUUCCACGUGUAGCAGUGAAAUGCGUAGAGAUGUGGAGGAACACCGAUGGCGAAUGCAGCCCCCUGGGCCGAUACUGACGCUCAUGCACGAAAGCGUGGGGAGCAAACAGGAUUAGAUACCCUGUUAGUCCACGCCCUAACGAUGUCAACUAGUUGUUGGGAAGGUAAAUACCUUUUAGUAACGUACUAACGCCG